AGCGAACGUUGGCGGCGUGGAUUAGGCAUGCAAGUCGAGCGAGAACCGUAGCAAUACGGGGACAGCGGCGAAAGGGACAGUAAUGUGUAGGUACCUACCCCGAGGUCUGGGAUAGCUGCGGGAAACUGCAGGUAAUACCGGAUAAUGUCUUCGGACCAAAGGUGUGAUUCCACCUUGGGAGGGGCCUGCAUCCUAUUAGCUUGUUGGCGGGGUAACGGCCCACCAAGGCGACGAUGGGUAGCGGGUGUGAGAGCACGACCCGCGUCAUUGGGACUGGGACACUGCCCAGACACCUACGGGUGGCUGCAGUCGAGGAUCUUCGGCAAUGGGCGCAAGCCUGACCGAGCGACGCCGCGUGCGGGAUGAAGGCCUUCGGGUUGUAAACCGCUGUCGUAGAGGAGGAAAUGCAGGGGGGUUCUCCCUUCUGUUUGACCUAUUCUAGGAGGAAGGACGGGCUAAGUUCGUGCCAGCAGCCGCGGUAA
rnacentral:rRNA from 1 species